rnacentral:rRNA from 1 species
AACGAACGCUGGCGGCAUGCCUAACACAUGCAAGUCGAACGAGACCUUCGGGUCUAGUGGCGCACGGGUGCGUAACGCGUGGGAACCUGCCCUUAGGUUCGGAAUAACUCCCCGAAAGGGGUGCUAAUACCGGAUAAUGUCUUCGGACCAAAGAUUUAUCGCGUUUGGAUGGGCCCGCGUUGGAUUAGCUAGUUGGUAGGGUAAAAGCCUACCAAGGCGACGAUCCAUAGCUGGUCUGAGAGGAUGAUCAGCCACACUGGGACUGAGACACGGCCCAGACUCCGACGGGAGGCAGCAGUGGGGAAUAUUGGACAAUGGGCGAAAGCCUGAUCCAGCAAGGCCGCGUGAGUGAUGAAGGCCUUAGGGUUGUAAAGCUCUUUUACCCGGGAUGAUAAUGACAGUACCGGGAGAAUAAGCUCCGGCUAACUCCGUG